AUUGAACGCUGGCGGCAUGCCUUACACAUGCAAGUCGAACGGCAGCACGGGAGCAAUCCUGGUGGCGAGUGGCGAACGGGUGAGUAAUAUAUCGGAACGUGCCCAGUCGUGGGGGAUAACGCAGCGAAAGCUGUGAUAAUACCGCAUACGAUCUACGUAUGAAAGCGGGGGAUCGCAAGACCUCGCGCGAUUGGAGCGACCGAUAUCAGAUUAGCUGGUUGGUGGGGUAAAGGCCCACCAAGGCGACUAUCUGUAGGUGGUCUGAGAGGACGAACAGCCACACUGGAACUGAGACACGGUCCAGACUCCUACGGGAGGCAGCAGUGGGGAAUUUUGGACAAUGGGCGCAAGCCUGAUCCAGCAAUGCCGCGUGCAGGAUGAAGGCCUUCGGGUUGUAAACUGCUUUUGUACGGAACGAAACGGCCCUUUCUAAUACAGGGGGCUAAUGACGGUACCGUAAGAAUAAGCACCGGCUAACUACGUGCCAGCCGCCGCGGUAAAAC
rnacentral:rRNA from 1 species